rnacentral:rRNA from 1 species
GAUGAACGCUGGCGGCGUGCCUAAUACAUGCAAGUCGAGCGAACAGACGAGGCUCUUGCCCCUCUUACGUUAGCGGCGGACGGGUGAGUAACACGUGGCUGACCUACCUAUAAGACUGGGAUAACGUCGGGAGACCUGAUCUAAUACACGUUCAGAGAUUGAACCGCGGGGUUCAUUGGUGAAAACGGGAUUUGCUGUGACUUAUACAGAGUUCCUCGCCGGAUUAGCUAGUUGGUAAGGUAACGGCUUACCAAGGCAACGAUGCGUAGCUGAUCUGAGAGGAUGAUCGGCCACACUGGAACUGAGACACGGUCCAGACUCCUACGGGAGGCAGCAGUAGAGAAUAUUCGGCAAUGGGCGAAAGCCUGACGGAGCAACGCCGCGUGAGUGAUGAAGGUCUUCGGAUCGUAAAACUCUGUUAUUAGGGAAGAACAAAAGUGUAAGUAAACAUGCAUGUCUUGACGGUACCUAAUCAGAAAGCCACGGCUAACUACGUG